GUAGGUGGCAAGCGUUGUCCGGAAUUAUUGGGCGUAAAGCGCGCGCAGGCGGUCCUUUAAGUCUGAUGUGAAAGCCCACGGCUCAACCGUGGAGGGUCAUUGGAAACUGGGGGGACUUGAGUACAGAAGAGGAAAGCGGAAUUCCAAGUGUAGCGGUGAAAUGCGUAGAGAUUUGGAGGAACACCAGUGGCGAAGGCGGCUUUCUGGUCUGUAACUGACGCUGAGGCGCGAAAGCGUGGGGAGCAAACAGGAUUAGAUACCCUGGUAGUCCACGCCGUAAACGAUGAGUGCUAAGUGUUAGGGGGUUUCCCGCCCCCCUUAGUGCUGCAGCUAACGCAUUAAGCACUCCGCCUGGGGAGUACGGCCCGCAAGGCUG
rnacentral:rRNA from 1 species